AAUAAAUUAUCUUUUUUCUCUAAAUCUAGAUUAUCAGUUCAAAAUCUUCUACUCGACGUCUAUAUCUAUAAAUCCUUUAUAACUAGUUCAGUCCUAGUCUAAAAACCAAUGUUACGACUCAAUUCAAUAAUUCAUGUUGAUGGGUCUAGACUGAAUCGAUUUAAGAUAAUUUUUCUUAUCGUAAUUACUAAUUUUAUUAGAUUUAUUUAAAUAGAACUAAUAAUUUAAAAUUUAGAUAGAUCUAUCUAGACUAGUUACUAGAUCUAUAGAAAUUCUCAAUCAAGAUUAUCUAAAUCUAUAUAGAUCAAGAAGAAGAACAGUUUAAAGAAAAUAAUACCAGUGUUAUGCUCCUUUCACCAUUGAGUUCCAGGAUGAAGAAUGAAAGACAGAGAGCAAUGUGAAGACAUCAAAGAAUGUGCAGGUCUGCCAUGAAAUGGUUUAUCCAGGGCUAAGUAAAGAGAGGAAUAUAGAAGGGCUGUUGACUGAUCUUGUGUGGUGCCCCCAUGGCUCAACAGACUGAUUGAUAGAAAAUAAUACCAGGGUUAUGUUCCUUUCACUGUUGAGUUCCUGGAUGAAGAAUGAAAGACAGAGAGCAAUGUGAAGACAUCAAAGAAUGUGCAGGUCUGCCAUGAAAUGGUUUAUCCAGGGCUAAGUACAGAGAGGAAUAUAGAAGGGCUGUUGACAGAUCUUGUGUGGUGCCCCCAUGGUUCAAAAGACUGAUUGAUAAGUAAUGAAAAUAAUACCAGGGUAAUGGUCCUUUCACUGUUGAGUUCCAGGAUGAAGAAUGAGAAAGACAGUGAGCAAUGUGAAGACAUCAAAGAAUGUGCAGGUCUAUUAUGAAAUGGUUUAUCCAGGGCUAAGUACAGAGAGGAAUAUAGAAGGGCUGUUGACAGAUCUUGUGUGGUGCCCCCAUGGUUCAACAGACUGAUUGAUAGGUAAUGGUAAGAAUUUAAUGUAUUUUGAAAAGAAAAUUUAAAAAAUUGGUGUUAAUUACAUUAAGGGACUUAAUCACUCUUUUUUUAUUUCCAGAAAAUGAUACCAGGGUCAUGCUCCUUUCACCGUUGAGUUCCAGGAUGAAGAAUGAAAGACAGAGAGCAAUGUGAAGACAUCAAAGAAUGUGCAGGUCUGCCAUGAAAUGGUUUAUCCAGGGCUAAGUACAGAGAGGAAUAUAGAAGGGCUGCUGACAGAUCUUGUGUGGUGCCCCCAUGGUUCAACAGACUGAUUGAUAGAAAAUAAUACCAGGGUUAUGGUCCUUUCACUGUUGAUUUCCAGGAUGAAGAAUGAAAAACAGAGAGCAAUGUGAAGACAUCAAAAAAAUGUGCAGGUCUGCCAGGAAAUGGUUUAUCCAGGGCUAAGUACAGAGAGGAAUAUAGAAGGGCUGAUGACAGAUCUUGUGUGGUGCCCCUAUGGUUCAACAAACUGAU